AAACCAUGUUGUGGGCAUGAACUGAUAAGAUCCUUAAACCGCUCCCAACAUUAGAAGAGUGUCUCAUCUUCCUUUUGGACGAAGUUCAUAAACGACUUAUUGAUGGU